rnacentral:lncRNA from 1 species
AAAAUGUGGUGAUCAAAUUGGAAGAUAAAAGUGGAAAUUGAAUCAUGCAUGGUGUGGUGAUAUGUAUGUAUGGCUGUAUGAUAUGAUGAUGAUGAGUGCAUGGUUUUAUGUGCACCUAUGGCAUGAUAUAUAUAUAUGACAUGAUGAUGAUGAGUGCAUGGUUGCAUGUGAACCUAUGGUAUGAUAUAUGUAUGAUAUGAUGGUGAUGAGUACAUGAGGAUAUAUGUACAUAUGGCAUGAUGGCAUAUGCAUGGCUGCAAGGUAAGUUAUGCUUGGAUGCAUGGAUGACAUGUACUAUGCUAUGAUGUGUGAUUGUAUUGUGUGAUGCAUUGAGUGGUUUAUUAGAUAUUUUA